rnacentral:rRNA from 1 species
UUUGCUUAAAAUAAAAGGUCCAGCCUGCCCAGUGACACUGUUCAACGGCCGCGGUAUCCUAACCGUGCGAAGGUAGCGUAAUCACUUGUUCUUUAAAUGAGGACUAGUAUGAAAGGCACCACGAGAGUCAUACUGUCUCCUCUUUCCAAUCAGUUAAACUAAUCUCCUCGUGAAGAAGCGAGGAUAACUAUAUAAGACGAGAAGACCCUAUGGAGCUUUAAACGAAUAACACUUGCCCACUUACUCCUUUAAAUUUCAGAAAAAUCUAUUACCUUGGCAUCAUGCUUAUAAGUUUUUGAUUGGGGUGAUCACGGAACAAAAAAUAACCUCCGCAAUGAAAGACUCUCCAUAACUAAGUCAAGAACCACAACUCUACACAUCAACAAAUUGACACCAAUUGACCCAAUUUAUUGAUCAAUGAAC